GACAGAGGCCCCAAGCGUUAGGCGGAAUCACUGGGCUUAAAGCGUGUGUAGGCGGAUGCCUAAGUACCUUGUGAAAUCCCACGGCUCACCCGUGGAACUGCUGGGUAUACUGGGCAUCUUGGGCCAUUCAGGGGCAACUGGAACAAGCGGUGGAGCGGUGAAAUGCGUAGAUAUCGGGAGGAACACCAGAGGCGAAGGCGGCGAACUGGACAGUAACUGACACUCAACUGCGAAAGCGUGGGGAGCAAACAGG
rnacentral:rRNA from 1 species